CCAGCUCCAAUAGCGUAUACUAAAGUUGUUGCAGUUAAAAAGCUCGUAGUUGGAUUUCUGGUAAUGAAUUUAGGUCCAUCUCGCGAGAGAUGCGCACUUAUAAUUAAUUGCCAUCUUUACUAAUAACAUGCAUGGCCUUCACUGGUCGUGUAUGGGGUUAGUAUCAUUUACUGUGAGCAAAUUAGAGUGUUCAAAGCAGGCUUAUGCCGUUGAAUAUAUUAGCAUGGAAUAAUAAGAUAAGACCUAGGUUUAUUUUGUUGGUUAACAUUCCAAGGUAAUGAUUAAUAGGGAUAGUUGGGGGUAUUCGUAUUCAAUUGUCAGAGGUGAAAUUCUUGGAUUUAUGGAAGACGAACUACUGCGAAAGCAUUUACCAAGGAUGUUUUCA
rnacentral:rRNA from 1 species